UGCACCGAGGGGGCUCUGCCCCAAGUAACGUGUCCACGCGGCUCCCCAGACCGCCGUUUCUCGGGCGCCUCCGUCCCUCCGUCCCGCCCUCCCCCCCGCAAGUGCCCAGGCCGCGGCGCCCGCUUCCUUCGCCGUCCGCUCCCGGACCCGCGCGGGGUCCCGGCCGAACCUUGCCGGAACCCGAGCCGCCAGCGGCCGGGAGGAGACCUUGAGAGGUCACCAAGUUGGUGUAGGCCGACGGGCUAGCCAAGUGUCCUGCGUCCUUCCUUCAGUGCCUUCCCACCCGGGACCGGUAGUGAGCCGGGAGCCUCACGGUGACUAAGGAUGCUCGGGGAAGAUACACACUAGCCAAAUGUCGUCUGACCCCACCUGACCUGACCUUCUGAAUGCCUUCUCACCAGCGGGUCUCUAACAGGUGGAAUAAACCGGUCCUUCUUGGGACUUGGGGUCUUCAUCAAUUUGAAAAUGAGGUCAAGCUUAAUCCGUUUAUGCUGUUAUGACAAAGUACCUGUGACUUGGGGUCGCGACCCACAGAUUGAGAACCACUGCUGUAUUGCACCUCUGAGGAUCAAGCCUUUAACAAAAUGGACCUUUCUUUGGGAAAUACUCAAGAUCCAGUGGCCCAGACCUUAGGAUGCAUCUCAAUUUCAAAUCUCUGGUAGUCAGUUGUACCAAAUUCCUUCUCCAAAACCAAAGAUAAUAGACCAAAGAGAUGCUCUUCAGGGCCGUGUGGAAUGACAGCUGCAACAGGAGGCUGACAUUGAACUGCUCCCUUCCACCCUGUCCCUCCUGUCAAACACCUCACUUACUAGUCGGGAAACCCUGCUGGAAUGAGACGCUGCUUUUCUUGUUGGACCCAAGUGGCUGCAGAAGAAGGCAAACUGGAUUCGUAACAUCUAUUUUUUUUUUUUUUUUUUUAAUGAUUGGGACUCCAGGAAUGCUGGUGAGAUGACUCAUUAGGUAAAGGCACUUGCCUCCAAACCUGGUACCCGAAGUCAAUCCUUAGGACCCAUAUGGUGGGAGGAAAGAACCAAAUCCCACAAGUUGUCCUCUCAUCCCCAUGGAAUGCUGUGGCACAGGAACACAGAUACAUAGGAAUUAAUUAAUGUAAUUAAAAAAUGACUCUAGGAGAUCAUCAAAUAUAUA